GCAAGCCAUUUCCCAUGAGGCUGGCAACCAUGAAGCAAUUCGGAGCCCAACCUCCCCAAAUAUCUGCUUUGCAAACACAUAAAGCAGAGAGGCAUCCUGAAAAUGUGAUCUUCGGCCCAUCACCUUAGGCGUUUGUGCCGGUCUGUUUGCCUGCCUGAAGUGCAUCUGCUUCCAGAAAACAGAACUUUCUAGAAGGGGCUUUCUCAAGAGAAUGGCCAUCAAGCUUUAGCUAUUUAGGGCUCUUGGCAGGAAGCUUGCUCCCAUCCCAGUGCUGAGAUCGUGGCUACUUGGGGUGGUUUGGGUGCUCUUUGGUUCUUUGGUCUGGAUUCAGGGCCAUGUCACAUCAGCAAGAUACUACCUUAGAGGCUUUCAGUUUUGCGGCCUGAGCAGAUGGGAGCAGCCCAUGCUGGGACUACAGAGGGAAGGGCAAGGAGAAGCAGAGGAUUUCGGGCCUUCCUGGGCACUCUAGAAUGCUUCCUUGUGAUGCAGCAGGCCCGGUCAGGUCCCAGUGACCUACAUAACCUUCCAGACAGGGCAGGUGGGAGUCCUGCUUCCCAGGCCAGGGAAGGCUUGGGUGGAGACAAUUUACAAUGCUGAGACACUGAAUACUCACUGAUGGCUGAGUGAAUCAUACGUCUACAGGAUGGAUUAGGAGAAACCUAAGAUCCGCAGUGAGGAGGAGAAUUAAGAAGAUGGAGUUCACAUUCAGAGCUCAGGCUGGAGGCGAGUGGCAGACGAUGAAAAGGAGAAGAAAAGUCCUAGGAGCAAAGUUGCCCAUUGCAUGCCUGAAGGAAUGAAUGAGCCAGGGCUGUGUGGUCUGCACAGAUGGUUGCAACGUUGGCAAAGCAUUCUCAGUUGUUACAAAAGCUCCAGGAGCCCACAUUUCACAGCUGAGGAAACAGGCUCAAAGUCACACAUCAAAUAAUGCAGCCAGGACUUCACCUCUUAGGACAUCAGAUGUGCACCCUUGGGGUUUUCCUCCCACUUCAGCGUGGGCUGCCAGGCCUCUCCUGAGCAAUCACUGGGGAAAGGGGCAAGUGCUUGCCUGGCAGGGAGAGAGGGAGCGAGAGAGGACUCUGCCAAGGAUCAACUCCAGACUCAUUUCUCUAGCAACCCUUGUCAUAAAAUAUCUUGCCUCAGUGAGCAUUGAGUAUGAAUCCAGGCUGUUUGAGAUUGUGCCAUCCUUACUUGACAGUUUAAUUGUGAUCCUAUAGAUGAUCAGUUUAGUCUGUGACUGGGGCUACAAGGACCUAGGGCAUGGGAGUUGUGAUCUAGAUGCAGACAGACAGCCUUUGACCUGGGACUUGGAGGGCAGGACCCUGGUCAGCUGCUACGCUGAGUUCCUAUGAGCAAGACUGGAUCUGUUUGCCUUUCCUUUCCAGAACCUGAGGUCUAUGGAGAUGAUUUGCAAAGAUGGCUUCAGCACUUCCACUCGUUAGGUGCAGGCCCCUUUGGAAGUGUGGAGUCUCUGGAAUCUGAGCUUGCCUUGACUUGCACAAACCAUAAAAAUACAGCAGUGCGGUCAUCAGCGGGCAUGGCAGCUUUUGCUUUGAUCCUCUUUCAAGCUGCCUCUUUCAAGCUGCAUGUGCACAGACCUCGUCUGAUCUAUCACGUGAACCCGAGAGGCUGUGAAGCGCAGGCGCCAUGACAGGCAAAGCUCACAUGACUGACUACAGCCAGUGCCAAAAGUUACAUGUAAGAAUGAGGCCAUCUUGGGCCUUUUAGACUCAGGAUAGCCACCAAAAAGCACAGUGGUACUAAUGACCCCAGGAGAAAUCAGCAGAACCUUCCAGCUGAGCCCAACCCUAAAGGUGGGGUCAUGGAAUUGGGAGUAAAUACAAUGUUACUUUAAUCAGCCCCGCCCCCCAUUACUUUAGAAUGUCAUGCCAGGCAGCAACAGAAAAUGGGCACAGGGCAGUUCCUACUGGUAGUAGACUGGAUUACUUCUAAAAACAGAUAUUUAAGACCUAAACCCUUUUACCUGUGAAUGUUAACUUAUUUGGAAAUAAACUUUGAAGAUAUCGAAUUCAGAUAAGGUCUGAGCUGGCAAUGCAGCUAAGUUUGUGGAGUAUUGUGCCUAGCAUGCAGAGAGCCCUGGGCUCUGUGACCAGCACCGCAUAAACUCAGUGUGGUGCUAUGUGCCUCUAAUCCCAGUAUUCAGGAGGUAGAGACCUGAGGAUCUAAAGUUCAAAGGUCAUCCUUGACUGCAUAGUCAGUGUAUCCUUAUGCCAGCUUAUGUGAGUUAUUUUGUGUCUUAUUUUUUUUGUUGUUUGUUUAAAUUUUCCUUGUUUUAUACAGCAUCUUAUGAAAUCCAGACUAGCCUUGAACUGGAUGUGUAGCUGAGGAUGAUCUUGAGCCUCCUGCCUCCAUCUUCUGAUGGUUUAGUCAGUACUGGAGAAUGAGCCCAGGACUUAAUGCACGCUAGGCAAGCACUCUGCCUACUGAGCGACAUCCCUAGCCCCAUGUGUACCAUUUUUGCCACUUAAUAUGUCACAGACAGUUUUUCCACGUCUGUAACUAAAUCUUGUUUAUCAGCACUUAUUUAUUGAAUAUAUCAUGCCAGGAAAUAACAAUGAAAAGACAGUGUUUGUGGCCUCAGACUGUGAAACUGAUGGCCUGGCCAACAACAUUAGACAUUAAGCAAAUCCUUACACACACCAACAGCUUUUCACUCUCCAAAGUUUUGAGAUAAUUUUGGAUUGUAAAAAUGAAGAGAAUCCUCACAUAGCCCUCCCUCAGAUCUUCUGAGAUCACCAUCCCACAUCCAUUACUCCCCCGCAAACACUGACACUGACAACUCUGCCCUAUGUUGUGGGAUAUUAGCUCAAGAUGUGUUACAUUCAUUUGUGCUGUGGAAUGUUUGUUUUAUGAUGCAAAGAUGCGUUGCAUUCUUGUAUGUUGCAUUUGCUUAACUCUACAAAGAUCUGUUACUUUGCCUGUCUAAAACACCUGACUAGUCUAUUAAAGAGCUGAAUGGCCAAUAGCUAGGCAAGGAGUGAGAAAUAGUGGGCCUUCCAGGCAGAGAGAAAAAAUAGGAGGACAUUUUUUUAAUGUCAUUAGACAUUUGCUUAAUGUCUAAUGGGGGUGGGGGAGAAGGAGAUCAAGGAUUAAGAAAAAGAGGAGAGGAGGACACUGGGGACCAGCUACCCAGCCACUCAACCAGCCACAGAGUAGAAGGAAAGAAAGAUAUAUAGAAUAGAGAAAGGUCUUCUAAAAAGCCCAGAGGUAAAAUGUAAAAGAAGAGAAAUGGGCUAAUUUAAGUUAGAAAAACUGGC
ensembl:lncRNA